rnacentral:misc_RNA from 1 species
UACAGGUGUUGAAUGGACGCC